rnacentral:tRNA from 1 species
GGGCACACGGUGCCCUUGGAAAUGCAGGACUUAAGAUCCUGUCUCUUAGGAGUUCGUGGGUUCAAAUCCCACCUCCUCCA